UCUCUCUCUCUCUCUCUCUCUCUUCUCUCUCCCACGCCAUAUUUGAUAUUGCAUUAACGUAAAGAUUUAAUACUUAGUGAUUGGUCACUCGUAAAUUUUGGAGUUAUUUAGUAUUACUUAGUGCUUAUUGUGAAAUCUGAACAAACAUUGUACAAGUGUGUAACGGCACCUUUACUUUUUUUAAAUAUAGUGUGGAACUAGCUGCAGCAGAAAAUUGGUUCCAAGGUACGGCAUCUAGCUUGUGUUGGGGUGUGAUGCCAAUUCGCAUUACAUGUGUAAUGCGAUUGCUUACUUGGGGAAGGACAUAGUCAUAGUCAGGGUGCCGAGAGGACAGACGUAUUUAUUUGUGUGGCACCAUUCGACAGAAACCUUAUAUUCCUAAGGAACUUUCUGAGGUGUUUCACGUCAAGGACUUAGUGGUCGUGCUCAAUUACGAACACAAUUUGACUCUUUAGUGUAAGCAAGUCAGCAGGACUAAAAAUGUGAUGCUGUUGAGUUCCCUGCUUCAUUUUCCGUCUGAGAUCGAAAGAAGGAGAUGGAAGACGGACAUUCAGAUAUUCUAUAAUGCAACGAAAGGGGGUGUAGACACAUUCGAUCAGAUGUGUUAUACAGCAAAUUGUGUUCGUAAUACACGACGCUGGCCCUUUUGUUUUUUCUAUUGGAUAUUGAAUAUAAUUAUGGUGAAUUCUUACAUUCUCUAUUCGUCCCUGCUAUCAUCAAAGAGUUUGACAAGGCAAAGGUUCCUGAAGGAGGUCGCCCUUGAAUUUUGUGCUCCCCUUGUAAGUCUUCGGUAUUACACAUUAACCAACUUGUCCAAGCCCCUCCGUGUGCUGAUGGCGGAUACAUUCAGGCUGGCUGAGCUUGAACAUAGACCACCUCCUGCCGUUGGCCACGUCGAGCUGCCCAAGCGUGUUCGCUGCCAAAGCUGCCAUUUAGGGAAGACCACAAGAUAAACACGGCAUGUUUGCGGUGUAACGAGCCCGUCUGCCUGCAGCAUCAAAUUGUCUUGUGUCCACGGUAGCAAAUUUGGCCGUCACACUUGGCGUGGUCGGGAGUCAUUUUGCAGACAUACCCGAAUGGUGGUAGAUGUGGCCGCUGGAGUAGGUAUCGACUGCGGCCAUUUUGUUAGCAUAUCCAAAAGAUUUUGACCUCUAUCGGUCCAACACCUCUGGCAGUCUCUUAUUGUAAAUAGUAGAUUUUGGAAGGAUUCCUUCAAUUUUUGUGUAUUUAUAGGUUA